AUCCGGGUUGCGGACAGUGUCUGGUGGGUAGUUUGACUGGGGCGGUCUCCUCCUAAAGAGUAACGGAGGAGCACGAAGGUUAGCUAAUCCUGGUCGGACAUCAGGAGGUUAGUGCAAAGGCAUAAGCUAGCUUGACUGCGAGCGUGACGGCGCGAGCAGGUGCGAAAGCAGGUCUUAGUGAUCCGGUGGUUCUGAAUGGAAGGGCCAUCGCUCAACGGAUAAAAGGUACUCCGGGGAUAACAGGCUGAUACCGCCCAAGAGUUCAUAUCGACGGCGGUGUUUGGCACCUCGAUGUCGGCUCAUCACAUCCUGGGGCUGAAGUAGGUCCCAAGGGUAUGGCUGUUCGCCAUUUAAAGUGGUACGCGAGCUGGGUUUAGAACGUCGUGAGACAGUUCGGUCCCUAUCUGCCGUGGGCGCUGGAGAAUUGAGGGGGGCUGCUCCUAGUACGAGAGGACCGGAGUGGACGCAUCACUGGUGUUCGGGUUGUCAUGCCAAUGGCAUUGCCCGGUAGCUAAAUGCGGGAGAGAUAAGUGCUGAAAGCAUCUAAGCACGAAACUUGCCCUGAGAUGAGUUCUCCCUGACCCUUUAAGGGUCCUGAAGGAACGUUGAAGACGACGACGUUGAUAGGUCGGGUGUGUAAGCGUAGCGAUACGUUGAGCUAACCGAUACUAAUGAACCGUGAGGCUUAACCUUACAACGCCAAAGGUGUUUUG
rnacentral:rRNA from 2 species